AUAAUAGAGGCAGCAGGGUGGAGGCAGGCAGAGAGAGAGAGAGUGAAGAGAGAGAGGACGAGACAGAAUCGAGAUCAGACAAGACACACAGAGACACGCUAAUGAUCUGAGGAGAGAACAGAGAAGAAACAUGGACUUGGAUCAAUAUGAUGAUAGUCAAAGUGACAGCGGAGUGUCUGCUGACUUCUCUCCAAACAGCAUGUCAGAUAACGAGACGCCAAUCGAGAGGGAGAUACGCCUCGCCUUCCAACGAGAGCAGAGCCUUCGCCGCUCACGAGGCUUGGAUGAAACCAAGGAGUUCAUCAAUAUCCCGCUCAGAAUGUCCAUCCUCUCCCAAGAUCUCACAGAGAAAUCAGUGAAAGAUCACGGUAAGGAGCGCCAGUUCGCUGGAAAGAAGAUGCAGCGUGAGAUCCACGCUGAAGCUGAAAGAGAGAAGGUGCUGGUCAAGCUUGGGAGGCUGCCUGGCUUUUUAUGACAAAGGUACCGUGAGACAACUGCAGCAGAAAAAAAGUCUCUUUGAAGCCUUCCAGGAAUCCAAAGAUCUCCAAAUCUCCAGUGACGGAACUCAGGAACCCAGAAACAGUGUGGAGAUGCUCUUCCAGAACCAUUCCCCAUUUCAGCCCAUUGAGACUUCACCCAAAGUUCUGCAGACCUCGAGAAAUCAUGAUCAUGCGACAUUCAAAUCUGUCCAGGAGCCGAAGAAUGAGGGAAAAUCCUACGUUUCAUCCUGCAAGAUUGUCAAUGGUGGAAAUCAGGACUGCUCAUCUAAGGAACACAGAAGACACCUGGAGCUGGAUUCUUCUUCUCAACUCUUCCCAUCUCUGAAGGAGAAGAAACUCCUGUUUGAAUCCUACCAGGAGAAUAACUAUCUUCCGAUCUCCAGAGAUCAGGACAGUGAGGUUUCAGGAUCUUUUAAAGAACGGAGGAGAAGUCUAGACGUCUUUUUCCAGAACCAAAAUUCUGGAAUAAAAGCCAUACAGGAACCCAAAGAUCUCCAGAUCAUAAGAAAUCAGGAUAACAAGAUGUCAGGAUUUUCUAAGGAACCAACAAGGAGCCUGCAGGUUCAGAACCCAAAACUAUGUGGUCCAGGGUUCUCGGAGGCUGUGGAUCAGCAGGUGAUAAUCAUUGAGAACAAGCCUACAGUGAUUUCACACACAAACACGCAGGUUUACAAACCUGUGACCGUGACGGACUCAGGAAGCGUCAGAUCUGCACCUGAGGAUCUUCAUUACAACUCACAAGUCCAAAACCAGACAGCUAAUGACAAAGAGCUGAAGGAGAACCCGUUCUUCAAGUUGAGAUCAUCGCUGUCUCUCAUCCCAGAUGUGCAUAAGGACAUUCAGGAAGCAAAAAAGCGAGAGGAAGAACUGCACAAACAAAGGACGAUUCUCUAUGGCAACAGGUCAAAGGUCACAGUGUCACUGAGCAGAAGAACACCAACACACAGCCAAGCAAACACAUCAGGACAACACCUGAACACCACACCAGGAGAAGCGCCGAUUUCAGGAGGAACAGGAUCGAGCAAAACGCCAACUGGAAGACAAGAAAAUCCGACUGCAGCAACCAAAAUGAAUUUGUCAUUUGGGAAGUUGGAUCUAAGAUGGCCACCUCCUUCACUACAGAACGGACACAAAACACACCCUGAGGCAAAGGAACAGCGACAGAAGAACCUGUUAGUCCAGCGCUGGGAAACAGGUCUAAUCAAUGGACACGGCAAUGACCACCACAACUGACCACAGAGCAAACACACCUCCUGAAGACCAGCGUGAACAUCUCCAGCAUUAACUUUAAACCUAAUCUGGGCUGUUUAAUUCACCUGCUCUGUCUCUGUCAUUAACUCACAGCUCACCUGCUCUGGGCUGUUAAACACAAAUGUUAAUCAGAACAUCACACCUUUGCACUACUGCAGCUUGUUAUCUAAUCUUCUCAUUAGCAUUUAGUAUAUCAGAUUAGCUUCACAUAAUACACACACGCAUUCACAAAGGAAAAAAUGUUAAAGUAUUUAAUUCAUUCAUCACUUAGCUGGCUAACCAGUUAGCCACUAGCAAGUUUUGGCUGUUUAGUGAGUUAGCAAACAUAUGCUAACUAGCCAAACUGUUUCAUUACUGAAUCCUUAAUAGGUGUUUAUUCAUUUUUUUCUGGUUCCAGUGUUGAUAGAGUGCUAGCUAGCUUGUUGGUAAUUUGUUUUGUCGAUUAUGCUUAGCUACCAACAAGCUAGCUAUUUAGAUUUUUUUUUUUUUUUUUAGCCACACCACUGACUGGUUUUUAGUUUAGCACUAGCCCAUUAGCUUUAUUUAAUAUUUUACAGCAUAUUUACAGCACUAUUAGUUAGCUAUUUAGUUUUAGCCAAGAGAGAUUCUUGUUAUUUAUUAUCAGCAAGCUAAUGCAAGCUAGCUAGGUCUAGCAAACACUUGUUAUUUUUUAAAAAUUAUUAAAAACACAUUAAACUGAUUUCACUGUGCUACAUGAGCGUGAGAUGUGUGCACACCACAGUGACCUAGAUUCCCCUCACAAAGCCUAAGGAAAAGAAAAAUAAUGUGUUUCUCCCUUGUACAAAGUUUUUGGGCUAGUGUCAGGUAUCUGUGUAGUUUCUGAAAGCUGUACGCCCUGGUUAAUUAUAUUAACCUGGAACACAAGUGAACACAGUUAGGUGUAAAUGGGAUCAGAUGUAGCUGCUGGACUAUACACUGGAUAACUUCAUGCAUCAACUCUCAUCUGUUCAGUAGAGUUUAUCCUGUAGCAGGAGUCACAUGUGAUAGCCUCUCCAUUUCGUCUGAUGUCAUUAUUAAUGUUGUCCUGCUCCACCAAAAUCUCUGGUCACAAGCAGCUGCAGAAUAAAUAUUUUACAGCAUGUUAAUUCUCUGGGACUGUAAUGUCACUGUGCUGAAUCACUCAAUGAAACAGCUACAAAGAAGAAAAGAACGAGAAUAAAAGCACGGCUUUGUUACUGCCUGCUUGUGGACAUUUCACAAAUCCGGAGAGAUCAUAUGCUCAAAACACCAAUCCUGAGUGUCACACUGUGUGAGUUCAAAGCACAAGACAGCGUAUAGAAAAUGAGGACAAGCCCACUCAGUGCUUUGUAACAUCUUCACCACUCAGGACACACCCACUCAGUGCUUUGUUACAUCUUCACUGCUCAGGACACACCCACUCAGCACUCAGUUUCACCCUUACCGCUCAGGUCAUUUCCACUCAGCACUCAGUUUCACCAUUACCUCUCAGGACAUGCCCACUCAGCACUCAGUUUCACCAUUACCGAUUAGGAUAUGACCACUGGAUGCUUUGUUACAUCUUCACUGCUCAGGACACACCCACUCAGCACUCCCUCAGUUUCUCCCUCAGAGCUUUGAAGCAAAAUGUGAGGCAGUGAAAGCGGCCCUUCCCAGGCUUAACCCGCACAUUCAGACCUUUAUUUACAUACAAAGGAGAACAAAAUCCUUUAAAGUGAUAACAGGUGAAUCAUGACUGUACACAAAUGAUGUUUAUUUGGCUAUUUUAGGACAAAAAUGGUUUUAAAAAAAUCAAUUUAGUGUUCAGUAUUAACACCAGUUUUUACACAAUGUAGGUAAUUUAACUACUUAAAGAACAGAUUAAAUUGCAGUGGUUAUUAUAAUACAAACUAAUACUAAACCGGAUCACCUAAAACCAAAGUUCAAAUAAUGAGGAUCAAUUUAACCAGAUUACCUAACCCUGAUUAACAACAACUGACUAAUUAAGCUAAACCAGAUGAACUAAAAAUCCUGAUGUUGUGAAGACACUUGGCUAAAAUGUUCAAUGUUAAUGCUCAUUAAUGUGAUUAAGAUUAGCCUCAGGAGCAUCUCUACACCUUUCUUCUCAUUAAAUACUGUCACCUGAGCGGAUAAAGAUGUGGAACAGCCCAUGAACUUUUGACUAAAGGGUGUUCUUGAGGGGGUCUGAACUCCUGAAUUAACACAUUAACCCUCCCUGUACUCCACCGAUCACUAAUAGGAGAUUAAAGACAAAGGUUGGAUAUGUUCUUAAAACACACACACAAAAUAACUUUCAUUGCCAAUACCAAAAUAUAAUUUUGCUACCCAAUCCCCCCUAUAAUGGACCACACCAUUUCUUUAUUAUUGACUUACACAUGCUUUAACCAGAAAUGUGAUAAAAAAAAUAAAUAAAAAAAUAAUAAUAAUAAAAAUUUUUUUUUAAAAAUGAUGAUGAAAAACUAAGGAGAGCAGUGAAGACCUAAUAAAGUGUCUAAUACACACUCUGGUUAGAGGAAGUCAAAAAGCUGUAUUGGAAAGACAAAGACACAGCCAGACAGAAGUGUAAUUUGCAUUCAGCUAUAAAUGGGAUGAACAGUGAGUUAUUUUGCACUUCUCACUGAGCCUGUUGGAGUACAGUCUGUACUGAACAUCUACAGAGUUAUAAAUGUUCAUAACACCUCAAACAUUUAGCGAUCAAUAAAAGUGUACAUAGUUACACAAGCAGCAUUGCUUGCACUGAUCCACUGAUGAUAAUGAUGUAGUUAACAGGAUAUAAUGUGCUUUUAUUGCUCAACUCUCCAGCAACAGUAUGUCUGUACUUCCUUCUGCAAUCUCUCUCUCUCUGUGUAUUCAUACAUAAAAUAUCAUUAAUAAAGCAUUAAUUUAUUUUCAAAGGACAUUUUAUAAACAUAAGAGCCUUUAAUGCAAAAUCCAAAUCGUGCAAAUGCUACUGAGAGAGAGAGAGAGAAUACAGAAAUGGAAUAAAAUAAAAAUAAUGAGAUGAAGGAGGAGAAAGAGAGAACCAUGAGUAAAUGAGAUAAAGUAGAAGGACAAGAGUGAAGAAUGUAAUUAAAUGAAAGGAUGAUGACGAAUAAAAAAGAAAAAGGAAGAGAAACUGCUGAGAGAUCAGCGUUUGUGUGUGUGACCCGGUUUGCCUUUGUGUCAGAAAGAAACUGAAGUAACUACAUGCAAACCAAAACCCAGCCAUGUCAUCGGCAUGCUCCGCCCAUUUAGGUGUGCUGUACCUGUCUGUGUGUGUAGCGCUCUCACUAUGCACUGUCGCCGAGAGAGAGAGAGAGAGAGAGAGAGAGAGAGAGAGAGCGCACGAGUGUGUCAGUAGCCAGGUGGGCGGGUGAAUGUGCUGACUGGAGAUUCGUAGAUGGGCUCCAACACUGAAGUUAAUCCCUCCUCCUG
ensembl:lncRNA